rnacentral:rRNA from 1 species
GACGUAGGGCGCGAGCGUUGUCCGGAUUUAUUGGGCGUAAAGAGCUCGUAGGCGGCUUGUCGCGUCGAAUGUGAAAACCUGCAGCUCAACUGCAGGCUUGCAUUCGAUACGGGCAGGCUCGAGUUCGGUAGGGGAGACUGGAAUUCUUGGUGUAGCGGUGAAAUGCGUAGAUAUCAAGAGGAACACCUGAGGUGAAGACGGGUUGCUGGGCUGAUACUGACGCUGAGGCGCGAAAGCUAGGGUAGCAAACGGG